GACGAACGCUGGCGGCGUGCCUAAUACAUGCAAGUCGAGCGAAUCGAUGGGAGCUUGCUCCCUGAGAUUAGCGGCGGACGGGUGAGUAACACGUGGGUAACCUGCCUGUAAGACUGGGAUAACUUCGGGAAACCGGAGCUAAUACCGGAUACUUUCUUUUCUCGCAUGAGGGAAGAUGGAAAGAUGGUUCUGCUAUCACUUACAGAUGGACCCGCGGCGCAUUAGCUAGGUGGUGAGGUAACGGCACACCAAGGGAACGAUGCGUAGCCGACAUGGGAGUGUGAGGGGCCAGGCUGGAGCGGAGAAACGGCCCAGACUCCUACGGGAGGCAGCAGUAGGGAAUCCUCCGCAAUGGACGAAAGUAUGACGGGGCAACGCCGCGUGAGUGAAGAAGGCCUUCGGGUCGUAAAACUCUGUUGUUAGGGAAGAACAAGUACGAGAGUAGCUGCUCGUACCUUGACGGUACCUAACCAGAAAGCCACGGCUAACUACGUGCCAGCCGCCGCCGUAACAC
rnacentral:rRNA from 1 species